CAACCCUCAAGCUCUGCUUGGUAUUGGGUGUCACUUAAAUGGUGCAUCUUAAAAUCAGUGGCGGUGCCAUCUGGCUUCCAAGUGUAGUAAUAUUUCUUGCUUUGGGAGCUUUGAGAUGUGUGCUUGCCAACAAUCCUCUAAUUUAUCAAA
rnacentral:misc_RNA from 1 species